ACUUUGCAAUGUGCGAAAGCACGACAAGGUUAAUCCGAGUGGUUUCUGCUAAAGGAACCUUUUGUCAGUCCUAGAAACACUGGUGAAUAAGGGGUGGGCAAGUUCUGGUGUCAGCCGCCGCGGUAAAACCAGCACCUCAAGUGGUCAGGAUGAUUAUUGGGCCUAAAGCAUCCGUAGCCUGCUUUGUUAGUUUUCGGUUAAAUCCAUACGCUUAACGUAUGGGCUGCCGGGAAUACUGCAAAGCUAGGGAGUGGGAGAGGUAGACGGUACUCGGUAGGAAGGGGUAAAAUCCUUUGAUCUAUUGAUGACCACCUGUGGCGAAGGCGGUCUACCAGAACAC
rnacentral:rRNA from 1 species